UACGGGGGGGGCAAGCGUUGUUCGGAAUUACUGGGCGUAAAGGGCUCGUAGGUGGCCGACUAAGUCAGACGUGAAAUCCCUCGGCUUAACCGGGGAACUGCGUCUGAUACUGGAUGGCUUGAGAUUGGGAGAGGGAUGCGGAAUUCCAGGUGUAGCGGUGAAAUGCGUAGAUAUCUGGAGGAACACCGGUGGCGAAGGCGACAUCCUGGACCAACACUGACGCUGAGGAGCGAAAGCCAGGGGAGCAAACGGG
rnacentral:rRNA from 1 species